ensembl:lncRNA LINC02316 long intergenic non-protein coding RNA 2316
ACUCUGCGUGGAGAUCAGCCUAGUCUCACUCAUGCCCUCUCCCUCUAGUGUGGGAAAACAAGAGGAACCUCCAAAAUUUCCUAGCUGCACAAAGAAAUUGGUGGAAAUUCACUUCAUUUUGAAGCUCGGGGUUUCUAUGUGGUUGAUUUAAUCAAAAUAUUAAUGUGAUUUUUCUAGAAGAAGAAAAAGGGAAAAUAUAAAAAUCAUGCUGAUUGGAUUUGAAUAGAUUGUAUUGAUCAUAUAUGAAUAUUAUCUUUCAUCCAGAUUGGAAAGUACUGUUUUGAAAUCCAGUCCUUCACACUUCCAAACUGAUCAUUUUUAAUAAGUAAAUGUCAUUUUGGCUUUUUUUUUUUUUUUCUGGUCAGGAAGAAAAACAAGAAGUUUCCUUCCGCAAACUUCCUAAAAGGUGCCAUGUGUUUUCCUAAAACCAAGGAAAAUUCUAAAAUAGAACUACCAUAUGAUUCAGCAAUCCCACUUCUCUAAAUCUCCAGAAUCUCCAGGGAUUGGAACCAAGUGCUUUAUCUUUACCAUAUACCAAUCCAUGAAUCAACUCCAAAACAGAUCUCUAGAAACAGACAAGACUGACUACUGCCUGAAGGUUUCUGACACCAAGUUCCUGAGGUACAUGGAACAGAGGCUGUUAGGAAAUUUGCCUUGCAACUAAAAUUUAAGCAAAGAAACAACUUGUCAUCUACCUGUUUACCUCUAACAGAAGCUUAUACACAUAUGCAUGGGCUUGGAGAAAAUGAUAUUCACUUAAAAACAAUAUAAUAAUGACAUGUACAGAGCCAUAUAGCUCCAAAACCUUUCAAGUGCUACGUCCAUUUGUGAGGACAUAUUUAUCAGUCUAGUACUACCUUGUAACAGUACAAAAGUACAUUCACAUUAUUUUUUCUAAAGGAGCUUAGUUCCUAGAGGGAAAAAUACACUCUUCUCAAAGUUUUAUAAUAAUAAUUAACAUACCCUACAUGAUGUUUGUGAGACUCAAAUAAGGAAAACAAUGGAAUAUGCUAUAUAAGAGCAACAUAUUAUUGUCAAAGUUUUAUUUCUUUUUCUCUAUCUUUCAAACAAAUCAUAAUCUGCUUUGGUUUUUAAAAGUAGUUUAGUCGUAGAAUACUCUGUUCACAUAAUUUAUGUAUUCACAUUAAUCACAUAAUUUAUAAAUCAUAAAAUAUGACGAUAGUGGUAAUAAUAUAAACAAUGAUCUAAAAGUAUGUUAAAAGUUAUAAUCUUCGCAUCGCACUCUCAUGAAGUAGGUUAAUAGACAAUACAUGGCUUGCCUAAUUGCACAUAGAAAUGACUGUUUGGGCCAAGGAUUCAAAUCUGGGGCAUGCAGGCAGAAGUCCUGUUCUCUUGAUGUUCAUUCUAUGCUCUUUAAAUAAACCCCAUUUUAGUCACAUUAAUCAUAUAAAUAAAUAUUUGAUUGUUAACCUA